rnacentral:rRNA from 1 species
UUAAGCCAUGCAAGUCGAACGAGUUUAGGCUCGUGGCGUACGGCUCAGUAACACGUGGAUAACCUACCCUUAGGACCGGGAUAACCUUGGGAAACUGAGGACAAUACUGGAUAGGCAAUUUUUCCUGUAAUGGUUUUUUGUUUAAAUGUUUUUUCGCCUAAGGAUGGGUCUGCGGCCGAUUAGGUAGUUGGUUAGGUAAUGGCUUACCAAGCCGUUGAUCGGUACGGGUUGUGAGAGCAAGAGCCCGGAGAUGGAACCUGAGACAAGGUUCCAGGCCCUACGGGGUGCAGCAGGCGCGAAACCUCCGCAAUGUGAGAAAUCGCGACGGGGGGAUCCCAAGUGCCAUUCUUAACGGGAUGGCUUUUCAUUAGUGUAAAAAGCUUUUGGAAUAAGAGCUGGGCAAGACCGGUGCCAGCCGCCGCGGUAACACCGGCAGCUCUAGUGGUAGCAAUUUUUAUUGGGCCUAAAGCGUCCGUAGCCGGUUUAAUAAGUCUCUGGUGAAAUCCUGUAGCUUAACUGUGGGAAUUGCUGGAGAUACUAUUAGACUUGAGACCGGGAGAGGUUAGAGGUACUCCCAGGGUAGAGGUGAAAUUCUGUAAUCCUGGGAGGACCGCCUGUUGCGAAGGCGUCUAACUGGAACGGUUCUGACGGUGAGGGACGAAAGUUAGGGGCGCGAACCGGAUUAGAUACCCGGGUAGUCCUAACUGUAAACGAUGCGGACUUGGUGUUGGGGUGGCUUUGAGCUGCUCCAGUGCCGAAGGGAAGCUGUUAAGUCCGCCGCCUGGGAAGUACGGUCGCAAGACUGAAACUUAAAGGAAUUGGCGGGGGAGCACCACAACGCGUGGAGCCUGCGGUUUAAUUGGAUUCAACGCCGGACAUCUCACCAGAGGCGACAGCUGUAUGAUAGCCAGGUUGAUGACUUUGCUUGACUAGCUGAGAGGAGGUGCAAUGGCCAUCUGCUGAAA